AGAGUUUGAUCAUGGCUCAGGAUGAACGCUAGCUACAGGCUUAACACAUGCAAGUCGAGGGGAAACGACAUCGAAAGCUUGCUUUUGAUGGGCGUCGACCGGCGCACGGGUGAGUAACGCGUAUCCAACCUGCCCAUCACUUGGGGAUAACCUUGCGAAAGUAAGACCUAAUACCCAAUGAUAUCUCUAGAAGACAUCUGAAAAGAGAUUAAAGAUUUAUCGGUGAUGGAUGGGGAUGCGUCUGAUUAGGCUUGUUGGCGGGGUAACGGCCACCAAGGCUACGAUCAGUAGGGGUUCUGACGAGGAAGGUCCCCCACAUUGGAACUGAGACACGGUCCAAACGUCCUACGGGAGGCA
rnacentral:rRNA from 1 species